CUGGGACGCGGGUGCCUGUGGUAGGGGAGCAAGCACUAAUUUCUACAUAAUUUGAAUCUUCAGCUUCAUGCUGUUUUUUUGGCUAAUGAUACUUUGUCACUAAAUCACUGUAGACUUUGCAAAGUGCCUCCUCCAUAAUCUUAUGUGAUCUUAUACCUGGAGGCACACAAGGUAGGUGCUAUUGUUCCUGUUUCAUAGGUGAGGAAACUAAGAUGCAGGGAGGCUGAGCAAAAUGCCCCAAAUUACAGUCAAUUACGGCAGAACAGGGACUCCCAUCUGCUUUCUGCUGCCUUUCCAAUGACCUACAUCUGCCUACCAGCACCUUGACUGUGGGCCCAGGGAGAGGAGUCUAACCGCCUUCCAGAGCUGGAGAGGUGGUACACUUGAACACUGUGUGAAGACACUGCCUUCAUCAUUUCUUGGGAAGUCCUGAAUUACCCCGAGAAUAAAUUUUUAUUACAAAGAAAAUGCAUUUACAUCUAGAAAAUGAAGACAAAAGAGAAGAAAAUUAAAAUGUCCUGCAGGCUGGAUGAGGUGGCUCAUACCUGUAAUCUCAGCACCAUGGGAGUCCAAAGCAGGAUUGCUCAAGACCAGAAGUUCAAGACUGGCCUGGACAACAUAGCAGGAUCUCAUCAACAACAACUUAGCCAGCCUGACUUCAGUUCAUUCUAAACACAAUGAACAGAGUGUUCCUGUUAAAACUGAAGCCUGGCCUUUGCCUCAGGACCCUGCUUCCUGGCACCUCUUCCAAAAGUGGCUCCCUUCCCUCACACAGUCUUCACACCGCUGGACCUCAAAG
rnacentral:lncRNA from 1 species